rnacentral:rRNA from 1 species
GCUUGUCUCMAGAUUGAAGCCGAAAGUCAGAGGUCCGAAGAUUAAGCUGCUUGUCUCAAAGAUUAAGCCGAAGGUCAKAGGUCCGAAGAUAMAUCCGUCUGGCUCCGAUCGYAAGUUCGGGGCGCUUUUAUUAGAUCAAAACCAAUCGAUCGCUUGCKGWCGAAAAGUGUGAUGACUCUGGAUAACUUCGCGGACCGCAUGGCCUUGUGCCAGCGGCGUAUCUUUCAAAUGUCUGCCCUAUCAACUGUCGAUGGUACGUGUUCGGCCUACCAUGGUUCUAACGGGUAACGGGGAAUCAGGGUUUGAUUCCGGAGAGGGAGCAUGAGAAACGGCUACCACAUCCAAGGAAGGCAGCAGGCGCGCAAAUUACCCACUCCCGGCACGGGGAGGUAGUGACGAGAAAUAACGAUACGGAACUCUUUCGAGGCUCCGUAAUUGGAAUGAGUACACUUCAAACACUUUAACGAGGAUCAAUUGGAGGGCAAGUCUGGUGCCAGCAGCCGCGGUAAUUCCAGCUCCAAUAGCGUAUACUAAAGUUGCUGCGUUUAAAAAGCUCGUAGUUGGAUCUCGGGUGAGAAGCGAUGGUCCUACAUAUAUGUAGCGACUAUCGUAUUUUCCCUAUCUUUCGGCUCUCUCUUAAUGCCCUUAAUUGCGGUGUUAUGAGUGGCCGGAGCUUUUACCUUGAAAAAAUUAGAGUGUUCAAAGCGGGCGCUUCGCCUGAAUAAUGUUGCAUGGAAUAAUGGAAUAGGACCUCGGUUCUAUUUUGUUGGUUUUCGGAGUCGAGGAAAUGAUCGACAGGGACUGACCGGGGCAUUCGUAUUGCGCCGCUAGAGGUGAAAUUCUUGGACCGGCGCAAGACGAACAACUGCGAAAGCAUUUGCCAAGAAUGUUUCCAUUGAUCAAGAACGACAGUCAGAGGUUCGAAGGCGAUCAGAUACCGCCCUAGUUCUGACCGUAAACGAUGCCAACUGGCAAUCCGCCAUAGUUACAUAAAUGGCUUGGCGGGCAGGCCCCCCSGGGAAACCAAAGUCUUUGGGUUCCGGGGGAAGUAUGGUUGCAAAGCUGAAACUUAAAGGAAUUGACGGAGGGGCACCACCAGGAGUGGAGCCUGCGGCUUAAUUUGACUCAACACGGGAAAACUCACCCGGCCCGGACACCGUGAGGAUUGACAGAUUGAUAGCUCUUUCUUGAUUCGGUGGUUGGUGGUGCAUGGCCGCUUCUAGUUGGUGGAGCGAUUUGUUCUGGGUUAAUUCCGAUAACGAGCGAGACUCUAGCCUGCUAAAUAGUCGACUCGUCCGUCUCGCGAGUACUACGUCUUCUUAGAGGGACAAGUGGGGUUACACUCACACGAGAUUGAGCAACAGCAGGUCAGUUAUGCCCUUAGAUGUCCGGGGCCGCACGCGCGCUACACUGAAGGAAUCAACGUGUAUUCCGUGCCCGAAAGGGACUGGUAACCCGUUGAACCUCCUUCGUGCUUGGGAUUGGAGCUUGUAAUUCUUCUCCAUGAACGAGGAAUUCCCAGUAGGCGCGAGUCAUAAGCUCGCGUCGAUUACGUCCCUGCCCCUUGUACACACCGCCCGUCGCUACUACCGACUGAAUCGUUUGUUGAGUUUCUUGGACGUCGGCGCUGUUGGCGGUUACUGCCGCUGCGCGCAGUACGGAAGAGACGCUAGAYCUGCGAUUUGGAGAGUAA